GCGGCGGACGGGUGAGUAACACGUGGGUAACCUGCCUGUAAGACUGGGAUAACUCCGGGAAACCGGGGCUAAUACCGGAUGCUUGAUUGAACCGCAUGGUUCAAUUAUAAAAGGUGGCUUCGGCUACCACUUACAGAUGGACCCGCGGCGCAUUAGCUAGUUGGUGAGGUAACGGCUCACCAAGGCAACGAUGCGUAGCCGACCUGAGAGGGUGAUCGGCCACACUGGGACUGAGACACGGCCCAGACUCCUACGGGAGGCAGCAGUAGGGAAUCUUCCGCAAUGGACGAAAGUCUGACGGAGCAACGCCGCGUGAGUGAUGAAGGUUUUCGGAUCGUAAAACUCUGUUGUUAGGGAAGAACAAGUACCGUUCGAAUAGGGCGGUACCUUGACGGUACCUAACCAGAAAGCCACGGCUAACUACGUGCCAGCAGCCGCGGUAAUAC
rnacentral:rRNA from 2 species